rnacentral:rRNA from 2 species
GCGGCGGACGGGUGAGUAACACGUAGGUAACCUGCCUGUAAGACUGGGAUAACAUUCGGAAACGGAUGCUAAUACCGGAUACACGAUGGUGUCGCAUGACACAAUCGGGAAAGACGGAGCAAUCUGUCACUUAUAGAUGGACCUGCGGCGCAUUAGCUAGUUGGUGAGGUAACGGCCCACCAAGGCGACGAUGCGUAGCCGACCUGAGAGGGUGAUCGGCCACACUGGGACUGAGACACGGCCCAGACUCCUACGGGAGGCAGCAGUAGGGAAUCUUCCGCAAUGGACGAAAGUCUGACGGAGCAACGCCGCGUGAGUGAUGAAGGUUUUCGGAUCGUAAAGCUCUGUUGCCAGGGAAGAACGCUCAUGAGAGUAACUGCUCAUGAGGUGACGGUACCUGAGAAGAAAGCCCCGGCUAACUACGUGCCAGCAGCCGCGGUAAUACGUAGGGGGCAAGCGUUGUCCGGAAUUAUUGGGCGUAAAGCGCGCGCAGGCGGUCAUUUAAGUUUGGUGUUUAAUCCCGGAGCUCAACUCCGGGUCGCACUGAAAACUGGGUGACUUGAGUACAGAAGAGGAAAGUGGAAUUCCACGUGUAGCGGUGAAAU